GUGUUCACUUUGGCAGCACAUACACUUAAAAGUAGGAAGAUAAAGAGAUUAGUAUGGCCCCUAUAGAAGGGUGACACAUAAAUUCAUGAAGGGUUCCAAAGUAAA
rnacentral:snRNA from 1 species